AGUGUGUGAAUGCUUGAAAGAACCAUUGUCCUCAUUGACAGUAUCAUCAUUUACUUGAUUGUUAGUAAUUAUUUCAAAGAUUCUGCAAAUGUCCAAAAUGGUCAUAUAUUGACACUUAAGUAUGCCUUUGUGAAUACCAGAGAAAUGGAAGAAUAAAGAUAAAAUAAUUAGUUUGAAAACUACAAGACUGUGACCAUUAAAAAUGAGUUCUGACCCUCUAUUUUUCAAAUAGCGGGUGUGCAUGUAGGAAAUUCAUGUAAUUCAAAUUGGAAAGCCUGGUCACAGAGUGAGUCCCUGUUUGUUUUAUAGUUAGGAAAACUCUGUUCUACUUUACUAGCUGGAAAAGUGGAAUCUAAUUUCAGUAGACUAUUAUCUUUAUUCCUCUCUGGAUCAAGAUUAGUGCUUUUCAGACUUGAUUUGCUGAGUAGAACAUUAAUAAGGCUUAUUGACCCCACAGUUCUAAAGGAGUAGUCUUUUAAAGGCCCUUCCUAUCCCCCAUAUUUCUAGCAUUUCAAUAAUUAUCUAGGGCCUUGUCUUUGCUUUUCCUACUUUGAUUGUAUUUCCCUAGGCAACCCUCAGGCCAGACCUUGUUCUUCCUGCUACUUUCCUCUCCAGGUUAAAGAAAUUCUGUUUAGUCAGAAUUCACAGCACACAUUGCCUAGCACUUUCAAGAAAUGGUACGUUAAGAAUGCCUUUUUUGCAACGAAAUUUAAUUUAUAUAAGGCCUGUUUUUUUCCUCAUAUAAUAACAACUCUGGAGAUAGAAGGCCUCUAGCAUUGAUUUGGCGG
rnacentral:lncRNA from 1 species